AAUGUAUGAUGUGGGCACCUCAUAAGCAACUCCUUAAAUCUUUACUAAGCUUCACAGAUAGACUCUCCAUCUAAUUGGGUGAAAGAUGUGAUUUUAUUCCUAUGGUU